AGUGAACGCUGGCGGUAGGCCUAACACAUGCAAGUCGAACGGCAGCACAGUAAGAGCUUGCUCUUACGGGUGGCGAGUGGCGGACGGGUGAGGAAUACAUCGGAAUCUACUUUUUCGUGGGGGAUAACGUAGGGAAACUUACGCUAAUACCGCAUACGACCUACGGGUGAAAGCAGGGGAUCUUCGGACCUUGCGCGAUUGAUUGAGCCGAUGUCGGAUUAGCUAGUUGGCGGGGUAAAGGCCCACCAAGGCGACGAUCCGUAGCUGGUCUGAGAGGAUGAUCAGCCACACUGGAACUGAGACACGGUCCAGACUCCUACGGGAGGCAGCAGUGGGGAAUAUUGGACAAUGGGCGCAAGCCUGAUCCAGCCAUACCGCGUGGGUGAAGAAGGCCUUCGGGUUGUAAAGCCCUUUUGUUGGGAAAGAAAAGCAGCAGGUUAAUACCCCGCUGUUCUGACAGUACCCAAAGAAUAAGCACCGGCUAACUUCGUG
rnacentral:rRNA from 1 species